rnacentral:rRNA from 1 species
GACGUAGGGCGCGAGCGUUGUCCGGAUUUAUUGGGCGUAAAGAGCUCGUAGGCGGCUUGUCGCGUCGUUCGUGAAAACCUGCAGCUCAACUGCAGGCUUGCGGUCGAUACGGGCAGGCUAGAGUUCGGUAGGGGAGACUGGAAUUCCUGGUGUAGCGGUGAAAUGCGCAGAUAUCAGGAGGAACACCGAUUGCGAAGGCAGCUCGCUGGAACGUUACUGACGCUGAGACGCGAAAGCGUGGGGAGCGAACAGG